rnacentral:rRNA from 1 species
GACGAACGCUGGCGGCGUGCCUAAUACAUGCAAGUAGAACGCAGUUGCGAACGGGUGAGUAACGCGUAGGUAACUGCCUCAUAGCGGGGGAUAACUAUUGGAAACGAUAGCUAAUACCGCAUACUGUGAGAUGGACCUGCGUUGUAUUAGCUAGUUGGGGAGGUAAAGGCUCACCAAGGCGACGAUACAUAGCCGACCUGAGAGGGUGAACGGCCAAACUGGGACCGGGACCCGGGCCAAACUCCUACGGGAGGGAGGCGUAGGGAAUCUUCGGCAAAGGGGGGAAAUCUGACCGCGCAACGCCGCGGGAGAGAAGGAGGGCUUCGGAUCGUAAAGCUCUGUUGAUAGAGGAGCGGUAACUAACCAGAAAGGGACGGCUAACUACGUGCCAGCAGCCGCGGUAAUAC